rnacentral:tRNA from 1 species
CUCUUUUAGUUUAUAGUAAAACAUUAGUUUGAAGAGCUUAAGAUAGAUUGUGCUAGGGAGG